GAUGAACGCUGGCGGCGUGCCUAAUACAUGCAAGUCGAGCGAACAGACGAGGAGCUUGCUCCUCUGACGUUAGCGGCGGACGGGUGAGUAACACGUGGAUAACCUACCUAUAAGACUGGGAUAACUUCGGGAAACCGGAGCUAAUACCGGAUAAUAUAUUGAACCGCAUGGUUCAAUAGUGAAAGACGGUUUUGCUGUCACUUAUAGAUGGAUCCGCGCCGCAUUAACUAGUUGGUAAGGUAACGGCUUACCAAGGCAAGGAUGCGGAGCCGCCCUGAGAGGGUGAACGGCCACACGGGAUCUGAGGAACGGCCCAGACUCCUACGGUAGGCAGCAGUCGGGAAUCCUCCGCAAGGGGCGAAAGCCUGACGGAGGAACGCCGCGUGAGUGAUGAAGGUCUUCGGAUCGUAAAACUCUGUUAUUAGGGAAGAACAAAUGUGUAUGUACCUAUGCACGUCUUGACGGUACCGAAUCAGAAAGCCACGGCUAACUACGUG
rnacentral:rRNA from 1 species